CAAGGAAUAUUGGACAAUGGGCGAAAGCCUGAUCCAGCGACGCCGCGUGGGGGACGAAGGACUUCGGUUCGUAAACCCCUUUUCCCGGGGAUGAAUGAUGACAGUACCCGGGGAAUAAGCCACGGCUAACUACGUGCCAGCAGCCGCGGUAAUACGUAGGUGGCGAGCGUUAUCCGGAUUUAUUGGGCGUAAAGUGGGCGCAGGCGGUCUUUCAAGUCGGACGUAAAAUCUCCCGGCUCAACUGGGAGGGACCGUCGGAUACUGUUGGACUAGAGGGCAACAGAGGGGGGUAGAAUUCCCGGUGUAGUGGUGGAAUGCGUAGAUAUCGGGAGGAAUACCAGUGGCGAAAGCGGCCCCCUGGGUUGUCACUGACGCUGAUGCCCGAAAGCGUGGGGAGCAAACAGG
rnacentral:rRNA from 1 species